CAAUAGCGUAUAUUAAAGUUGUUGCAGUUAAAAAGCUCGUAGUUGGAUUUCUGGUUGAAGCGACCGGUCGGGCGUUGAUUCGUCUGCACUGGAGUCGGUUUUGGCCAUCCUCUAGGAAAGUGCGUCUGGUAUUAAGUUAUCGGGCGUAUGAUCCUGGUCUUUUACUGUGAAAAAAUUAGAGUGUUUAAAGCAGGCCUUCGCCUUGGAUACAUUAGCAUGGAAUAAUAAGAUAGGACUUUGGUCUAUUUUGUUGGUUUGCAGACCGAAGUAAUGAUUAAUAGGGAUAGUUGGGGGUAUUUAUAUUCCGAUGUCAGAGGUGAAAUUCUUAGAUUUUCGGAAGAUAAACUUAUGCGAAAGCAUUUACCAAGGAUGUUUNCAUUAA
rnacentral:rRNA from 1 species